AAAAAAUUAAUACUUUCUUGAUUUUUUAAAACCGCAAAUAAAGUGAGAUAAAUUUUUUUUAAAAUCAUCUGCUACAAUAAAACGGAAAAAAUAUAUGAAAAAUGAUAAACCGGUGCAAUAACUUCUCUACAAAUAUAUCUUUUUCAUUUCCUAUCAAAUUAAUUUUGGUUGUUUAAGACAGACAAGAAAUUAUAGUGAGAAUCAGAAGUCAUGCAUCCUCGUACAUGGCACUCCAAGCUCGUCCCCACCUAUAUGGACUACGUCUAAUGGUGUAAUUGUCGUAAUUAAUGGAAGAUUGAAAAUAUGAAAUUGACCUAAGCAACCCAAUUUUUGGUUGUUUAAGACAAAGACAAGAAAUUAUAGUGAGAAUCAGAAGUCAUGCAUCCUCGUACAUGGCACUCCAAGCUCGUCCCCACCUAUAUGGACUACGUCUAAUGGUGUAAUUGUCGUAAUUAAUGGAAGAUUGAAAAUAUGAAAUUGACCUAAGCAACCCAAUUUUUGGUUGUUUAAGACAA
rnacentral:misc_RNA from 1 species